CUGUUCUACAGAGUCAUAUCUGUGGCUUCCUGUCUUUUAACACAUGAAGAAUUGGAGGCAAAGAAAUGAGUACUUAGAGAAGUCUGGGACCAGCAUGUUCCCUGUAGGCUCAAGGUCAACCGUCCUUGUAGA
ensembl:snoRNA